rnacentral:snRNA from 1 species
CGAAAGAAUAGUUCGCUU